rnacentral:rRNA from 1 species
GACGAACGCUGGCGGCGUGCUCAACACAUGCAAGUCGAACGGAAAGGCCCUGCUUUCGUGGGGUGCUCGAGUGGCGAACGGGUGAGUAACACGUGAGUAACCUGCCCUUGACUUUGGGAUAACUUCAGGAAACUGGGGCUAAUACCGGAUAGGAGCUCCUGCUGCAUGGUGGGGGUUGGAAAGUUUCGGCGGCUGGGGAUGGACUCGCGGCGUAUCAGCUUGUUGGUGGGGUAGUGGCUUACCAAGGCUUUGUCGGGUAGCCGGCCUGAGAGGGUGACCGGCCACAGUGGGACUAGGCUACAGCCCAGACGGCUACGGGCGGCAGCAGUAGAAGAUAUUGCACAAUGCGCGGGAGUCUGAUGCAGCAGCGCCGCGGCCGGGAAGACGGCCGUCGGGUUGUAAGCCGCUUGCGCCUGUGACGAAGCGUGAGUGACGGUAAUGGGUAGAGAGUCACCGACUAAUGACGUG